rnacentral:piRNA from 4 species
CUCGCCUGCCACGCGGGAGGCCCGGG